GUCUACGGCCAUAUCACCCUGACCGUGCCUGAUCUCGUCUGAUUUCGGAAGCUAAGCAGGGUUGGGCCUGGUUAAUACUUGGAUGGGAUUCCACCUAGGAAUAUCACCCUUUGUAAGCG
rnacentral:rRNA from 1 species